CGAGUUGGUUGGAUGAUCGCUAAAAUUUAUUUUAGAGGAAAGUCCGGACUUCAUAGAGCAGGGCGCCAGGUAACACCUGGGAGGCGUAAGCUUACGGAAAGUGCAGCAGAAAAUAUACCGCCAAUUAAUUGGUAAGGGUGAAAUGGUGUGGUAAGAGCACACCGCUUAAAUGGUAACAUUUAAGGCAUUGCAAACCCCAGCCUGAAGCAAGACCAAAUAGAAAUCCUUAGGCUGCUCGUUUAGGAUUUGGGUAGGUUGCUAGAGCUUUGUGGCGACACAUUGCCAAGAUAGAUGAUCAUCUUAUACAGAAUCCGGCUUACAGACCAACUCAUUUU
rnacentral:RNase_P_RNA from 1 species